rnacentral:rRNA from 1 species
AUUGAACGCUGGCGGCAGGCCUAACACAUGCAAGUCGAACGAGUGGCGGACGGGUGAGUAAUGUCUGGGGAACUGCCUGAUGGAGGGGGAUAACUACUGGAAACGGUAGCUAAUACCGCAUACCAUCGGAUGUGCCCAGAUGGGAUUAUCAAGUAGGUGGGGUAAAGGCUCACCUAGUCGACGAUCCCUAGCUUGUCUGAGAGGAUGACCAGCCACCCUGGAACUGAGACACGGCCCAGAGUCCUACGGGAGGCAGCUGUGGGGAAUAUUGCACACUGGGCGCAAGCCUGAUGCAGCCAUGCCGCGUGUAUGAAGAAGGCCUUCGGGUUGUAAAGUACUUUCAGCGGGGAGGCGUUACCCGCAGAAGAAGCACCGGCUAACUCCGUGCCAGCAGCCGCGGUAAUUC